AAUACAGCAAGCUCAAUUAAAUUUGAGGUUCAGAAAAUCAACGAAUGAUUUUUUUCUUAGCUUAAGUCUGUUCCAAAUAGUACCUGGGACAUACUUAUACUAAAAAAGUAUUUGUUUUCAUUUGAAAUUCAAAUUCACCUGAGCACUGUGUACUUU
rnacentral:miRNA from 1 species